rnacentral:rRNA from 1 species
CCUACGGGUGGCAGCAGUGAGGAAUAUUGGUCAAUGGACGCAAGCCUGAACCAGCCAAGCCGCGUGAAGGAUGACUGCCCUAUGGGUUGUAAACUUCUUUUAUACGGGAGUAAAGUCAAGUAUGCGUGCCUUUUUGUAUGUAUCUUACGAAUAAGGAUCGGCUAACUCCGUGCCAGCAGCCGCGGUAAUACGGAGGAUUCGAGCGUUAUCCGGAUUUAUUGGGUUUAUAGGGAGCGUAGGCGGGUGGUUAAGUCAGUUGUGAAAGUCUGCGGCUCAACGGUAAAAUUGCAUUUGAUACUGGUAGUCUUGAGUACAGUAGAGGUAGGCGGAAUUCGUGGUGUAGCGGUGAAAUGCUUAGAUAUCAUGAAGAACACCGAUUGCGAAGGCAGCUUACUGAACUGCCACUGACGGUGAGGCGCGAAAGCGUGGGGAGCAAACAGGAUUAGAUACCCCGGUAGUC